AUACUUACCUGGCAGGGGAGAUACCAUGAUCACGAAGGUGGUUUUCCCAGGGCGAGGCUUAUCCAUUGCACUCCGGAUGUGCUGACCCCUGCGAUUUCCCCAAAUGUGGGAAACUCG
rnacentral:snRNA from 1 species